rnacentral:rRNA from 1 species
AACGAACGCUGGCGGCAUGCCUAACACAUGCAAGUCGAACGAGACCUUCGGGUCUAGUGGCGCACGGGUGCGUAACGCGUGGGAACCUGCCCUUAGGUUCGGAAUAACUCCCCGAAAGGGGUGCUAAUACCGGAUAAUGUCUUCGGACCAAAGAUUUAUCGCCUUUGGAUGGGCCCGCGUUGGAUUAGCUAGUUGGUAGGGUAAAAGCCUACCAAGGCGACGAUCCAUAGCUGGUCUGAGAGGAUGAUCAGCCACACUGGGACUGAGACACGGCCCAGACUCCUACGGGAGGCAGCAGUGGGGAAUAUUGGACAAUUGGCGAAAGCCUGAUCCAGCAAUGCCGCGUGAGUGAUGAAGGCCUUAGGGUUGUAAAGCUCUUUUACCCGGGAUGAUAAUGACAGUACCGGGAGAAUAAGCUCCGGCUAACUCCGUG